AACGAACGCUGGCGGUGUGCUUAACACAUGCAAGUCGAACGAGAACGUUCUCUUCGGAGAGCUAGUAAAGUGGCGCAAGGGUGAGUAACACGUGAAUAAUCUGCCCUCGAGACUGGGAUAACUUGGCGAAAGCGUAGGCUAAUACCGGAUAAGACCACGCUUCAUAAGAAAUGUGGAAAAAGGAGUCUCAACCUUCACUCGAGGAUGAGUUCGCGGACCAUUAGCUUGUUGGUGAGAUAAAAGCUCACCAAGGCUACGAUGGAUAGCCGGCCUGAGAGGGCGAUCGGCCACACUGGAACUGAGACACGGUCCAGACUCCUACGGGAGGCAGCAGUGGGGAAUAUUGGACAAUGGGGGAAACCCUGAUCCAGCAAUGCCGUGUGAGUGAUG
rnacentral:rRNA from 1 species